rnacentral:lncRNA from 1 species
UUGCUAACAGCGUUUUCUUCUUGGCUUUCGUUUCUUUUUCACAGCGCAAAAUCACUCAAGGUGAAGAUUUCAGUGGAUGACAUCGAAAAGAUUUGGUGCCAUUAUGGAGGGGUUUUGUUUCACCAGCCCAUUUAUUGAUCUCUAUUUGCCAUGCCUGGACCUCCAGGAUGACCCACUGAACAGCUACGUGUGAUACUGCCCAGUGAGAUGGACAGUCGGUGGGACACGGGGCACCCCACCUUCCCCCAGGGAUGCCCGCACCGUUCACCCCUCCAGAAUUACUGCCUGUGUAUCUCUGCAUGCUCAGUUUCCAGCUGUGUGCCCAUGCAUGUCCAUCUGUCACCCCCGGAGUGACACGGAAAACAUCGCUUGGGAUUUUAUCUGAAGGGCAGGUUUGCUCCUGUGCUCACUUCAAGGACGGAGCCAAACCGGGGGAAGCAAAUGCUAACCCUAGAAAGGGUUUCUGCUGGUUUCAAAGCUAAUAAUGCC